AUGAUGGAGGUACGGGUCCUUGUGCUCCAUGGCCGCGGCCAUCUCCUGGGCCGCCUGUAGACAUCGUGGUGAAGCAGGUACUCCUGGACUGCAAGUCAGUGGUCAUAUGCUGCGAGGGCAUCAAUAUUUUUGGCAAUUUCUAUAAAAACAAGUUGAAGUACUGGCUUUCCUCCACAAGCGGAUGAACACUAAUCCUUCCUGAGGCCACUACCACUUGCGGACCCCCAGCUGCAUCUUCUGGCAGCCAGUGCAAGGCAUGCUGCCCCACAAGACCAAACGAGGCCGGGCCGCCCUGGACCGCCUCGGGGUGUUUGACGGCAUCCCACAGCCCUACGACAAGAAAAAGCGGAUGGUGGUUCCCACUGCCCUCACGGUCGUGCGACUGAAGCCUACAAGGAAAUUGGCCUAUCUGGGAUGCCUGGCUCAUGACGUUGGCCAAAAGUACUAGGCAGUGACAGCCACCCUGGAGGAGAAGAGGAAAGAGAAAGCCAAGAUCCACGACCAGAAGGAAAAACAGCUCAUGAGGCUAUGGAAACAGGCAGAGAAGAACGUGGAGAAGAAAACUGACAAAUACACAGAGGUCCUCAAGACCCACGGACUUCUGGUCUGAGCCCAAUAAAGACUGUUAAUUCCUCAUG